rnacentral:lncRNA from 1 species
UUUCCACUCUAUCCAUACCCUUCCAUUCUCUCAUCUCUUUAUCACUAUCGGAGAUGCUGUAGCGCAAUGCUCCAGACGCUACCACCGCAAUGGUAUAACUUCGAAGCAAACAUCACUACCACGGAUUUGAUAAGAAGACUACGAUGGCGGGUCCAUUAUUAGCAGCGACGAGUACUGCUGCUUUAUGGUGGUCUUGGAUCUCUGUGUCUGACACAAUGGGUGUGAAUCUGUGAUGGUGCGGUGUUCUGCAUUGGUGUGUAUGGUAUUGUCUGCGGUGGUUUGUGCAGUGAUAAUGCUAGUGGUGGUGGGUGCAGCAGCGAUGGUUUUAGGAUUUUAGGUUGGUUUCUUCCUUCGAUCUGCUUCAACGGAGCUUUGGAGGAUGCUCAGCCGAUUUUUUUAUGUGAUGUUUAGGGGAAUGCUCAGCCAAUGUUUUUGUUUUAGGUUGUGGGGUGGUAGUGUGGCGGUGCCAAUUUUAGUUUUUGUUUCUGUUUCUUUUGUGAGUUUCGGAUUGUAAGGUUGUGUUGGCGGUGUAACGUUGAAGUGGUUGUUUUUAUGUUUCUGUUUUGUUACAGAUUGUAAAGUAGUGUUGGCGAUGGGGUGGUUUUGAUGGUGAUGGUGGUCAUGUGGUGAUUGUGAGUCGUGGGUUUUGUUAAUUUGUACCCUAUAAUUUUAUAAUUUAUG